UACGGAAGGCAGCAGUGGGGAAUAUUGCACAAUGGGCGCAAGCCUGAUGCAGCCAUGCCGCGUGUAUGAAGAAGGCCUUCGGGUUGUAAAGUACUUUCAGUCGUGAGGAAGGUGUUAAGGUUAAUAACCUUAGCAAUUGACGUUAGCGACAGAAGAAGCACCGGCUAACUCCGUGCCAGCAGCCGCGGUAAUACGGAGGGUGCGAGCGUUAAUCGGAAUUACUGGGCGUAAAGGGCACGCAGGCGGUUAAUUAAGUUGGAUGUGAAAUACCCGGGCUUAACCUGGGAAUGGCAUUCAAGACUGGUUAGCUAGAGUCUUGUAGAGGGGGUAGAAUUCCAUGUGUAGCGGUGAAAUGCGUAGAGAUGUGGAGGAAUACCGGUGGCGAAGGCGGCCCCCUGGGACAAAGACUGACGCUCAUGUGCGAAAGCGUGGGGAGCAAACAGGAUUAGAUACC
rnacentral:rRNA from 1 species